AAUAGUGUGCCUGAUAUUUAAAAGGAUUAUUUUGAUAGAGUAAAUCAUGCAUUUUUUGCCACUAUUA
rnacentral:tRNA from 1 species